rnacentral:rRNA from 1 species
AGAUCAGAAUGUUGGUCGUGCCUUGGUACGUACUGGCAUUAUUGGUUUCUCCCUUCUGACGAACCAUGAUGUCAUUAAUUUGGUGUCAUGGGGAAUCAGGACUGUUACUUUGAAAAAAUUAGAGUGUUUAAAGCAGGCUCGCGCUUGAAUACAUUAGCAUGGAAUAAUGAAAUAGGACGUUUAAUUCUAUUUUGUUGGUUUCUAGGAUUGACGUA